CGGGAGGUCGCGGCGGGAGGCCGGCGGCGCGCGGAGGGCAGCGGAGCCCUCCCCUCGCGCCUUCCAUUUUCCUGCGGCCUGAGCCCGCGCGCUCGGAGGCCUUGGGGAGCGGUCGGCGACGGGGAGCCUGUGCCCGACGGCGGCUCCGGGAAGGAUUCACCUGGAAGAGGCAGGACAGGAGGCGCCCCGCGUUCGCGUUGGAUUUGAGGCCCCCCCCCCGCCCCGCCCCCGCCCUCGCCCUCGUUUUGUUCGAAGCCCGCAGCCUCUCGCUCAGGCUCUGGGGCUUUUUGUGGAGGUUUCUGGCCAAAGGUGAUCAAGGGCAGCAGCUGGAUUUUAAAACUGGGUUUCGAGGGCUGAAUGCGCAGUGUGUCUUCAAACCGCGCCGUGAACUCGACACGAGGUUAAGGAGAAACGGCACAGGGGGACGGAGCCCGCGUGUUCAGCGUCUAGGCCUGCAGCGCCGCGCUCACCGGUGAGCGAACGCCCGGCCCGGGAGCGAGGACCGCGGGGCUCCGCCAGCGCCCGACCCGUGUGAAGACAAUCUGCCUUUUAAGAUUGUAACCGGGGCAGCCCGGGCGGCUCAGCGGUUGAGCAUCUGCCUUCGGCCCAGGACGUGACCCUGGAGGCCCGGGAUCGAGUCCCGCGUCGGGCUCCCGGUGCAUGGAGCCUGCUUCUCCCUCUGCCCGCCCCCUCUCUGCCUCUCAUGAAUAAAUAAAAUCUUAGAAUAUAAAAUUUUAACUUUGCCAAAGAAUACGGGCAGACACAUUUCUAAAAGGCAAUUGAUAAUGCUCUUAUCUAUUCAUUCGCAGAGACCCAGAGAGAGGCAGAUGGAGAAGCAGGCUCCUCGCAGGGAGCCCGACGUGGGACUCGAUCCCGGGUCUCCAGGAUCACGCCCUGAGCCCAGGGCGGCGCUAAACCGCUGGGCCACCCUGGCUGCCCAAUUGAUAAUGCUUUUAAAAUUCAGCCAGAAGUACAUGAACCACAGAUGUUUACUACCCCUCCCAGGACCAACUCAUUUUCAGCAGCUCAGAUGCAACAACUGACUAUAAAUGAAGUAAGUAGAACAAAGCUACCCUGGUAUCACCUUGCUCAAUCUCCAUAACUAGCUUUACACAUUUUGCUCAGGAUUUUAAAUUAAAAGAGCUUCUGGUAAAAAAAAAAAAAAAAAAAAAAAUUAUUCUGGAGAAAAGUUCUUGUUCAGUCUGAAAUGCCUGUUUGUGUAGUUUUGCUUCUUUGUCUAUUUCCCAUCCUCUAACUAGGCUUGUUCAUCCUUAGAGACUCAGCCUAAGUUCUGUGAAGAUCUGCCCACGAUUCAGUCCAGUUGAGUUUUUUCCUACUGAAAUUUCUAUAACUGCUAUUGUUUGCUUAGUAAUUAUUCCUGAACAUGUGUCUUGCCUCUUUAAUUGGAUUAUAAGCUCUCUAGACGUUACAGAAUAUGUGUAUCAUUUAUUUUUUUGGAUUGUAAAGCAUUCCUGGCCCAGUUGUGUACAAAUGGAGGGUGUUAAAAGUGAAUGAAAACAGGUUAUUUGGGCCCUAUUCACUUAUCCUUUCUCAAAGUGGAGAACUUAACAGCCCUUCAGGAUGAGCUUUGGUCUUUCUACAUAUACGUCAUUAAGGACAUUUUGCUUUUUAUUUCUGUCAUUAAUUUAAAAAGUGAUGGGAAAGUCACUUUUGAUUUGCACAUGAAAUACUAUGUUUUUCAGAAUGAAGACAUAUUCUGUGAGUCAUUUUUGUUAUGAGUAACUUAGAACAUUUGUGGAUAGUCUAUUUCUGGGUAAAAUAGUUCAAAAUAAGAUUUUGGUAAUGCAUGAGUGAUACAUAUUUAAAAC
rnacentral:lncRNA from 1 species